GUGCCAGCCGCCGCGGUAAUACGGGGGGGGCAAGCGUUGUUCGGAAUUACUGGGCGUAAAGGGCUCGUAGGCGGCCAACUCAGUCAGACGUGAAAUCCCUCGGCUUAACCGGGGAACUGCGUCUGAUACUGGCUGGCUUGAAUCCGGGAGAGGGAUGUGGAAUUCCAGGUGUAGCGGUGAAAUGCGUAGAUAUCUGGAGGAACACCGGUGGCGAAGGCGGCAUCCUGGACCGGCAUUGACGCUGAGUGAGCGAAAGCCAGGGGAGCAAACGGGAUUAGAUACCCCUGUAGUCC
rnacentral:rRNA from 1 species